CAUGGUUCAGGACGAACGCUGGCGGCGUGCUUAACACAUGCAAGUCGAACGGAAAGGCCCCUUCGGGGGUACUCGAGUGGCGAACGGGUGAGUAACACGUGGGCAAUCUGCCCUGCACUUCGGGAUAAGCCUGGGAAACUGGGUCUAAUACCGGAUAGGACCUUUAGACGCAUGUCUUUUGGUGGAAAGCUUUUGCGGUGUGGGAUGGGCCCGCGGCCUAUCAGCUUGUUGGUGGGGUGAUGGCCUACCAAGGCGACGACGGGUAGCCGGCCUGAGAGGGUGUCCGGCCACACUGGGACUGAGAUACGGCCCAGACUCCUACGGGAGGCAGCAGUGGGGAAUAUUGCACAAUGGGCGCAAGCCUGAUGCAGCGACGCCGCGUGGGGGAUGACGGCCUUCGGGUUGUAAACCUCUUUCACCAUCGACGAAGGUUCGGGUUUUCUCGGAUUGACGGUAGGUGGAGAAGAAGCACCGGCCAACUACGUGCCAGCAGCCGCGGUAAUACGUAGGGUGCGAGCGUUGUCCGGAAUUACUGGGCGUAAAGAGCUCGUAGGUGGUUUGUCGCGUUGUUCGUGAAAUCUCACGGCUUAACUGUGAGCGUGCGGGCGAUACGGGCAGACUAGAGUACUGCAGGGGAGACUGGAAUUCCUGGUGUAGCGGUGGAAUGCGCAGAUAUCAGGAGGAACACCGGUGGCGAAGGCGGGUCUCUGGGCAGUAACUGACGCUGAGGAGCGAAAGCGUGGGGAGCGAACAGGAUUAGAUACCCUGGUAGUCCACGCCGUAAACGGUGGGUACUAGGUGUGGGUUUCCUUCCUUGGGAUCCGUGCCGUAGCUAACGCAUUAAGUACCCCGCCUGGGGAGUACGGCCGCAAGGCUAAAACUCAAAGGAAUUGACGGGGGCCCGCACAAGCGGCGGAGCAUGUGGAUUAAUUCGAUGCAACGCGAAGAACCUUACCUGGGUUUGACAUGCACAGGACGCGUCUAGAGAUAGGCGUUCCCUUGUGGCCUGUGUGCAGGUGGUGCAUGGCUGUCGUCAGCUCGUGUCGUGAGAUGUUGGGUUAAGUCCCGCAACGAGCGCAACCCUUGUCUCAUGUUGCCAGCGGGUAAUGCCGGGGACUCGUGAGAGACUGCCGGGGUCAACUCGGAGGAAGGUGGGGAUGACGUCAAGUCAUCAUGCCCCUUAUGUCCAGGGCUUCACACAUGCUACAAUGGCCGGUACAAAGGGCUGCGAUGCCGCAAGGUUAAGCGAAUCCUUUUAAAGCCGGUCUCAGUUCGGAUUGGGGUCUGCAACUCGACCCCAUGAAGUCGGAGUCGCUAGUAAUCGCAGAUCAGCAACGCUGCGGUGAAUACGUUCCCGGGCCUUGUACACACCGCCCGUCACGUCAUGAAAGUCGGUAACACCCGAAGCCAGUGGCCUAACCCUUGGGAGGGAGCUGUCGAAGGUGGGAUCGGCGAUUGGGACGAAGUCGUAACAA
rnacentral:rRNA from 1 species